rnacentral:rRNA from 1 species
GAUGAACGCUGGCGGUAUGCUUAACACAUGCAAGUCGAACGGUACCUUCGGGUAUAGUGGCGGACGGGUGAGUAACGCGUGAGAAUCUGUAUUCAGGUCGGGGACAACAGUUAGAAAUGACCGCUAAUACCGGAUGUGCCGAGAGGUAAAAGAUUUAUUGCCUGAAAGAGAGCUCGCGUCAGAUUAGCUAGUAGGUGGUGUAAGAGACUACCUAGGCGACGAUCUGUAGCUGGUCUGAGAGGACGAUCAGCCACACUGGAACUGAGACACGGUCCAGACUCCUACGGGAGGCAGCAGUGGGGAAUUUUUCCGCAAUGGGCGAAAGCCUGACGGAGCAAUACCGCGUGAGGGACGAAGGCUUUUGGGUCGUAAACCUCUUUUCUCAAGGAAGACACAGGACGGUACUUGAGGAAUAAGCAUCGGCUAACUCUGUGCCAGCAGCCGCGGUAAU